rnacentral:rRNA from 1 species
AAAACAUCUUUUCUUGUUUAUUUAUUUGAGAUCUAACCUGCCCAAUGAUAUUUUAAUGGCCGCGGUAUUUUGACCGUGCAAAGGUAGCAUAAUAAUUAGUUUAUUAAUUGUGGACUUGUAUGAAUGGUUGGACGAGAUAUUAGCUGUCUCAUAUUUAUUAGUUGAAUUUGAUUUUUUAGUUAAAAAGCUUAAAUUUUAUUGUAAGACGAGAAGACCCUAUAGAUCUUUAUUUAUUAAUUUUUCUUAUUUUUUGGAUUAUUUAUUUAAGUAUUUUUUGUAUUUUUUGUUGGGGUGACAUGGAGAUAAAAUUAACUCUUUAUUUAUUAUACAAUUAUUUUUGAAUUUUUGACCUUGUAUUAUUGUUUUAAGAUGUAGAUACCUUAGGGAUAACAGCGUAAUUUUUUUUGAGAGUUCUUAUCGACAAAGGAGAUUGCGACCUCGAUGUUGGAUUAAGAAUAGCUUAAGGUGUAGGUGCUUUAAGAUUGGGUCUGUUCGACCUUUAAAUUCUUACA